rnacentral:rRNA from 1 species
GAUGAACGCUGGCGGCGUGCCUAAUACAUGCAAGUCGAGCGAACGGACGAGAAGCUUGCUUCUCUGAUGUUAGCGGCGGACGGGUGAGUAACACGUGGAUAACCUACCUAUAAGACUGGGAUAACUUCGGGAAACCGGAGCUAAUACCGGAUGAUAUUUUGAACCGCAUGGUUCAAAAGUGAAAGACGGUCUUGCUGUCACUUAUAGAUGGAUCCGCGCUGCAUUAGCCAGUUGGUAAGGUAACGGCUUACCAAGGCAACGAUGCAUAGCCGACCUGAGAGGGUGAUCGGCCACACUGGAACUGAGACACGGUCCAGACUCCUACGGGAGGCAGCAGUAGGGAAUCUUCCGCAAUGGGCGAAAGCCUGACGGAGCAACGCCGCGUGAGUGAUGAAGGUCUUCGGAUCGUAAAACUCUGUUAUUAGGGAAGAACAUAUGUGUAAGUAACUGUGCACAUCGUGACGGUACCUAAUCAGAAAGCCACGGCUAACUACGUG